rnacentral:RNase_MRP_RNA from 14 species
GCGGAGCCUUGGUGGCGGGUUCGGGCCCUUCGCAGCAGCACAGACAUGCCGUGAGCGCUUAUGACUGGAGCGCCAACAGAACGGGGCUCAUUCUCC